rnacentral:lncRNA from 1 species
CAUAUACAUACAACAAAUACAAACAGACAUAAAAGGAGAAAUUGAUGGGAAUACAAUCACAGUAGGAGAUUUUAACACCCCACUCACAUCAAUGGACAGAUCCUCCAGACAGAAAAUCAAUAAGGCAACAGAGAUCCUAAACAACACAGCGGAAAAGAAAGACUUAACUGAUAGUUUCAAGACAUUACAUUCCCCCAAAUUAAGAACAUUCAUUCUUUUCAAGUGCACAUGGAACAUUCUCAAGGACUGACCACAUUCUGGGGCACCAAACUAACCUCAACAAAUUUAAGAGUACAGAAAUUGUUUCAACUAUCUUCUCUGACCACAAUGGCAUGAAACUACAGAAAUCAACCACAGGGAAAGAAAUGAAAACAAACUGACUACAGGGAGACUAAACAACAUGCUACUAAAAAACCAGUGGGUCAAUGAGGAAAUCAAAAGGGGAAUUAAAAAAUACCUCCAGACAAAUGAUAAUGAAAACACAGCCAUUCAAAAUCUAUGAGAUGCCAAAAAAGCAGUGCUUAGAGGAAAGUUCAUAGCAAUACAGGCCUUCCUCAGAAAAGAAGAAAAUCUCAAAUCAACAACCUAACAUACUACUGAAAAGAAUUAGAAAAAGAAGAGCAAAGUCAGCAGAAGGAAGAAAUCAUAGGGGUCAGAGAGGGAAUCAAUAAAAUAGAGAUUCAAAAAAUAGGAAAAAUCAAUAAAACCACUAGCUGUUUCUUGAAAGGAUAAAUUGACAAACCUCUGGCCAGAUUCACAAAGAAGAAGAAAGAACUCAUAUAUAUAAUAAAAAUAAAAAGGAGAAAUCUCAAUGGAUACAGCAAAAAUACAAAAAAAACCAUAAGAGGAGUUCCUGUCAUGGCUCAGUGGUUAACAAACACAACUAGGAAUCAUGAGGUUGCAGAUUCGAUCCCUGGCCUUGCUCAGUGGGUUAAGGAUCCGACGUUGCUGUGAGCUGUGGUGUAGGUUGCAGAUACGGCUCGGACCUGGCAUUGUUGUGGCUCUGGCGUAGGCUAGCAGCUGUAGCUCCGAUUAGACCCUUAGCCAGGGAACCUCCAUAGGCCGAGGGUGUGGCCCUAAAAAGAAAAAAAAAAAAAAAAUGCCACAACCAAGUGGGAUUCAUCUGAAAUUCACAAGGAUGCUUCAACAUACACAAAUCAAUCAAUGUCAUACAUCACAUUAACAAAAGUCAAAAACCAUAUGAUCACCGAAAUAGACGCAGAGAAAGAAUUUGACAAAAUCCAACAUCCAUUCAUGAUAAAAGCUCUUACCAAAGUGGGUAUAGAAGGAAUAUACAUCAACGUAAUAUAAGCCAUUUUUUUACAAACCCACAGCAAAUAUAAUAGUGGAGAAAAGCUGAAAGACUUCCUGCUAAAAUCUGGAAGAAAACAAGGAUGCCCACUCUCACCACUUUUAUUCCACAUAGUAUUGGAAGCUCUAGCCAUAGCAAUCAAACAAAAGAAAUAAGAACUAUCCAAAUUGGAAGAGGUGAGGUAAAACUGUUACUCUAUGCAGAUGACAUGAUACCCUAAGGACUCCACACAAAAACUACUCGAACUGAUCAGUGAAUUCAGGAAAGUUGCAGGACACAAGGUUAAUAUUCAGAAAUCAGUUGCAUUUCUGUAUACUCAAAAUGAAAUGUUAGAAAAGGAAUAUAGGUGUUCCUAUCAUGGCUCAUCGGAAAUGAAUCUGACUAGCAUACAUGAGGACCCAGGUUCAAUCCCUGGCCUCACUCAGUGGGUUGAGGAUCCGACCUUGCCAUGAGCCGUGGUGUACGGUGCAGAUGUGGCUCAGAUCCAGUGUUGCUGUGGCUGUGGUGUAGGCCAGCAGCUACAGCUCUAAUUAGACCCCUAGCCUGGGAACCUCCAUGUGUCAUGGAUGUGGCCCUAAAAAGACCAAAAAAAAGGAAAGAAACUUUGUGACAAAGAACAAACCAGAAGAAAAUUUUCAUUAAAAUGUUUAAAAAAGGAGUUCACAUCAUGGCUCAGUGGUUAACAAAUCCGACUAGUAACCAUGAGGUUGCAGGUUCGAUCCCUGGCCUUGCUCAGUGGGUUAAGGAUUUGGCAUUGCCGUGAGCUGUGGUGUAGGUCACAGACAUGGCUCAGAUCCUGCAUUGCUGUGGCUGUGGUGUAGGCCAGCAGUUGUAGCUCUGAUUGGACCCCUAGCCUGGGAACCUCCAUAUGUUGCAGGUACAGCCCUAAAAAGACAAAAAAAAAUUUUUUUAAGAAAGAAAAGGAAAUAAAAAUACAAUACCUAUUAAAAUCCCACCCCAAAAAAUUAAAUACCUAGGGAUAAACCUGACCAAGGAGGUGAAAAACUUACUUGCUGAGAACUAGAAAACAUUAAUCAAGGAAAUUAAAGAGGAUUCAAAGAAAUGUAAAGAUUUAAUAUUGUUAAAAUGGCCAUACUACCAAAAGCAAUCUAUAGAUUAAAUGCAAUCCUUAUCCAAUUACCCAUGACAUUUUUUCACAGAUGAGAACAAACAUUCCAAAAAUUUCUAUGGAACUGUAAAAGACCCAGAAUUGCCAAUGCAACCCUGAGGAACAAAAACAAAGCAGGAGGCAAAACUCUCCCAGACUUCAGAAAAUAUUACAAAGCUACAGUCAUCAAGACAGUGUGGUACUGGUACAAAAACAGACAUACAGACCAAUGGAACAGAAUAGAAAAUGCAGAAAUAAACCCACCCACCUGUGGUCUAUUAAUCUUCAACAAAGGAGGCAAGAAUAUAAAUUGGGGAAAAAAGAGUCUCUUUAGCAAGUGGUGCUGGGAAAACUGGAUAGCACCAUGUAAAUCAAAUGGCUUAAAGACUUAAACAUAAGACAAGACACCAUAAAACUCCUAGAAGAGAACAUAGACAAAACAUUCUCUGAUAUCAACCACAUAAAUGGGUUUUUUUUUUUCUUUUAAGGGCCACACUGAUGACAUGUGGAAGUUUCCAAGCUCGGGGGCAAACUGGAGCUACAGCUGCCAGCCUAUGCCACAGCCACAGCAACACAGGAUCCAAGCCACGUCUGCAAACUACAUCACAGCUCACAGCAACACCAGAUCCCCAAGCCACUAAAGACGACCAGGAAUCAAACCAGCAACCUCAUGGAUACUAGUCAGAUUCAUUUCUGAUGUGCCACAAUGGGAACUCCCCAUACAAAUGUCUUCUUAGGUCUUCUCCCAAGGCAACAGAAAAAUAAAAAUAAACCAAUGGGACCUAAUCAAACUUACAAGAUUUUGCACAA